GGCGGACGGGUUAGUAAUACGAUCGAACGUGCCCUGAGGCGGGGGAUAGGCGUGGGAAACUGCGCGUAAUACCCCAUGAUCUCUCCGGAGCAAAGGUUUACCACCUUGGGAUCGGCGAUCGUCCUAUCAGCUAGUUGGCGGGGUAACGGCCCACCAAGGCUAUGACGGGUAGCAGGUGUGAGAGCACGACCUGCAACAUCGGGACUGAGACACUGCCCGGACUCCUACGGGAGGCUGCAGCGACGAAUCUUCCGCAAUGGGCGCAAGCCUGACGGAGCGACGCCGCGUGUGGGAUGAAGCGUCUUCGACGUGUAAACCACUGUCAGGGGGCAGAACCAAUGAUCGCCCCCAAAGGAAGAGACGGCUAACCCUGUGCCAGCAGCCGCGGUAAGACAGGGGUCUCGAGCGUUAAUCGGAAUUACUGGGCUUAAAGGGUGCGUAGGCCGGCCCGCAAGUGCUUUGUGAAAUCCCCCGGCUCAACCGGGGAACAGCUUGGCAUACUGCGGGUCUUGAGGAAGGCAGGGGUCGCCAGAACUGUAGGUGGAGCGGUGAAAUGCGUAGAUAUCUACAGGAAUGCCGAUGGUGAGGACGGGCGACUGGGCCUUUCCUGACGCUGAGGCACGAAAGCGUGGGGAGCAAACAGGAUUAGAUACCCUGGUAGUCC
rnacentral:rRNA from 1 species